ensembl:lincRNA
UCUGGCGAGUGAGCCUCCCACUGCCAUACCACCCUGUCUCCUCUCCUGGUGAGCCUGGGAACCCGUUCACUACUACGCAGAUGCCUUCGGGAGCCAGAAGCGAAUGGGGAAAUGGACGUGGUGCAGAGAAGCGGGUGAGUAGGGCGCGGGGUGCGGCCACACCAUCCCGGGCUGCGGGACAGGCAAAAUCUCAAACUCAAUUUGGCUCUGGUGACCCGGGGCGUCUGUGCGACGCGUGUCCUCACCAGCAGAGCCACCGCAGACGCUUGGCUGCGCGAACACCAGAGCCGGAGCGAGCUCUCGCUCUUGGAAGACCUUCGAAGCCUAGACCUCCCACAGACCCUGCGCUCCCCACGUAGCAGGAGCACUAGACAUCCCACAGGAGUCUGACUCCCCGAAGUGUGGACGCUUGGUGCUUUGAGAUGUUCCGCCUGACCGUAGGGGCAGUGGAAGGGGUGACCACACUGCAGCCCAGCCUGCUUAGACUCCAAGACAGCACUGCAUGCUCUGCAGCAGGGGCAUGGCCCUGGAAGCCUUCUUUUGUCUGGCGCUCAUCAGAGACCAUGGGAGGUGCUGGCAGCAUGUGGAGUAUCAUCCGGAGCUUCCUUUGGUUUCUGAGAGGGUUACGGGGAAUUUCGGGGAUCCUAGAAUCCGAACACACAACCCACUUUCCAUCUCGGUUUUCCCGGCCUUACCUCCUGCCUGUGGUGGCUUGAGAUGCCAGAACUCUGUACGCUUCAACUUGCCGCUUUUCAAACUAAGGAUCUUUGGAAUCCACUCAUCUGCCUGUUGGCUGCAGUCUGGUAAGAUACCCCUUAAAUUUCCCAAGGUCAGGUUUGGAAUCCCACUCCAGGAGAGGUGCUUUUUGGCUUUUCAGUUCGGACCACUGGGUCCUUUUGGUUUCGGGAUAGCUGAGUCCCCUUUGGGGCCAGGCCCCCAGCAAUCCCUCUCAGGGCUAUGGGCUUCCGAAGAGGGGCUUUUGCCGGUUUUUUCACUUGCCUCACCCAUGGGGAAUACAUGUAUGGGAACUUUUCUGGUUACUGCCAGCGAAGAGGUAAAUGGGAGGAGUUCUACCUCUCUGUGGGAACCUCCUUUCACCUAACAAUGUCCUGUUUCACUAAAACUCUUAUGUACUAUCCAAGCUUUCUUCUACCUCUCUGUGGGAACAUUCUUUCACCUGGGAAUGUCCCCCACUCUUCUGUUUGUUACUCCUGCCAGCAGUCGGAAACAUGCCUAAGGUUGCCACCAUCUUGGCCAUGUGACCUACCUGUAGGCACGCCCACCACAGCCACCUGUGCCAGCAAACCUGGCUGCCAGAUUUUUUGCUUUUUAUUUUUGUCUCUGAUUCCUUUCACUGGCCCUGUUGUGCAUGGCUCGUUUAUGGAAUACUGUGUCUUUCCAGGGCCCUCUGUUUAAGUCUAUUCUGUCCCUUUAAAUCUCCUGUCUGUUUGCUACAAUGUACGGAUCAAAGAUUCUGGUUCCCCCUUUUACUUUUAUCCAGUCCUGCUUGUCUCUGUACAUGUAGUUUAAAUUUAACUUUAUACUUAGCUAACUCUAUAUGCAAUUUAAACUGUGGUAAAUCUCAUAUUUCUAAAUUGUUAUGUAUCUUUAAAUGAUGAUUAACAUUUGAAAUCAUAAAGGUCUAUUUCAAGUUAACAAAAUAUUUACACCACUCAAUCCAUCCUACAAGCUGUUUACAAAGGUAACGCUUUUAUUACAAAAAGAAAUUUUUCUCUAACUAAAGGUAAAUUUUUGACUGCCGAGAUAUUAGACAGGCAACCCUCAAAUGCUCAGAGAUCUAGAGAACAUAGCAUUUAAAAUGUUUUAUUAAAAAGUUUUUUUAUAACAGCUGCUGGCCCCACC